GCAGGUCGUUUUUAAGUUUGGAAGUGAAAGCCCCCCGCCUCAACCGGGGGAGGGUCCAUUCAAACUGGGAAACUUGCGUGCAGGAGAGGAGAGUUGACUUCCACGUGUAGCGGUGAACUGCGUAGAGAUGUGGAGGAACACCCAGUGGGGAAGGCGACUCUUUUGGUCUGUAACUGACGCUGAGGAGCGACAGCGUGGGGGAGCGAACAGGAUUAGAUACCCUGGUAGUCCACGCCGUCAACGAUGAGUGCUAAGUGUUAGGGGGUUUCCGCCCCUUAGUGCUGCAGCUAACGCAUUAAGCACUCCGCCUGGGGAGUACGGUCGCAAGACUGAAACUCAAAGGAAUUGACGGGGGCCCGCACAAGCGGUGGAGCAUGUGGUUUAAUUCGAAGCAACGCGAAGAACCUUACCAGGUCUUGACAUCCUCUGACAACCCUAGAGAUAGGGCUUUCCCUUCGGGGACAGAGUGACAGGUGGUGCAUGGUUGUCGUCAGCUCGUGUCGUGAGAUGUUGGGUUAAGUCCCGCAACGAGCGCAACCCUUGAUAUUAGUUGCCAGCAUUCAGUUGGGCACUUUAAGGUGACAGCCGGUGACAAACCGGAGGAAGGCCGGAUCCCUCAAAUCAUCCAACCCUUAUA
rnacentral:rRNA from 1 species